UUGUAAACCAUGAAGUAGAUUUUGCUGUGAAACCAAGCAAUCCAGAACUACCAAUACCAAAAUUUUCUGCCAAAAAAUUAGUAUUUUCAACGGUGAAAACUGAAAAGGUUGAAAACAAUCAAGACAAUGAAGAACAACUAUCAAGUUUAGAUAAUGUGCUGUUACUUAAUGAGGACUGUAGUCGAAAGAUCAAAGU
rnacentral:lncRNA from 1 species